AUUGAACGCUGGCGGCAGGCCUAACACAUGCAAGUCGAGCGGAUGACGGGAGCUUGCUCCUCGAUUCAGCGGCGGACGGGUGAGUAAUACCUGGGAAUCUGCCUGAUAGUGGGGGACAACGUUUCGAAAGGAACGCUAAUACCGCAUACGUCCUACGGGAGAAAGCAGGGGACCUUCGGGCCUUGCGCUAUCAGAUGAGCCUAGGUCGGAUUAGCUAGUUGGUGAGGUAAUGGCUCACCAAGGCGACGAUCCGUAACUGGUCUGAGAGGAUGAUCAGUCACACUGGAACUGAGACACGGUCCAGACUCCUACGGGAGGCAGCAGUGGGGAAUAUUGGACAAUGGGCGAAAGCCUGAUCCAGCCAUGCCGCGUGUGUGAAGAAGGUCUUCGGAUUGUAAAGCACUUUAAGUUGGGAGGAAGGGCAGUAAGCUAAUACCUUGCUGUUUUGACGUUACCGACAGAAUAAGCACCGGCUAACUCUGUGCCAGCAGCCGCAGUAAUAC
rnacentral:rRNA from 1 species